rnacentral:rRNA from 1 species
GAUGAACGCUGGCGGCGUGCCUAAUACAUGCAAGUCGAGCGAACAGACGAGGAGCUUGCUCCUCUGACGUUAGCGGCGGACGGGUGAGUAACACGUGGAUAACCUACCUAUAAGACUGGGAUAACUUCGGGAAACCGGAGCUAAUACCGGAUAAUAUAUUGAACCGCAUGGUUCAAUAGUGAAAGACGGUUUUGCUGUCACUUAUAGAUGGAUCCGCGCCGCAUUAGCUAGUUGGUAAGGUAACGGCUUACCAAGGCAACGAUGCGUAGCCGACCUGAGAGGGUGAUCGGCCCCACUGGAACGGAGACACGGUCCAGACUCCUACGCGAGGCAGCAGUAGGGAAUCUUCCGCAAUGGGCGAAAGCCUGACGGAGCAACGCCGCGUGAGUGAUGAAGGUCUUCGGAUCGUAAAACUCUGUGAUUAGGGAAGAACAAAUGUGUAAGUAACUAUGCACGUCUUGACGGUACCUAAUCAGAAAGCCACGGCUAACUACGUG